CCAUGGAAAAGUGACAAUAAUGAAAUAAGCAAGGAGGAGACCUGGAUGGUAUCAGGCGAUGACAAAGCAAUAAUCAUAAGAGCAAUGUAGCUGACAACCUGAGAGGAGGAGAUGUAGGAAAGAUAUUGGGCAUCAGUGAACUAAUUUAGAAAUCAACAUAUAAUUGUUCAACUCUGCAGUCAACUUUGGACAUCAAAUGGUAUUGUACAUCAUGUGUGAGUUUUAAAUUAUUA